CUACGGCAAAACGGGCAAAACAAAUUCGACAUCAGGAGUUUAAAAAAGGAAAAGAAAAUAAUAAAAGUGACGUUUAGUUUUCAAAAGACUGCCGUGCCCGUGAGAGUGAAAAAAGUCACGGAAUGUUCUAUCGCGAACAAUAGUCGUGAUAUUUUAUAAAUAGUGGCAAAAUACUGUAGUUUUGCUUUGCUAGGUGUAAAUUGCUCGUGUUUGCUCGAAAAGUACUAUCCGGUUGCUGAAAAGAAAACAAGUAAAUAUGAGUGUUAUCAGUAAAAAGUUAUCUUCGAUUUCUGGUACCUCUGCGGCUAGUGACGGCACCGGAGCUUCAGCGACACCUCCUAAUAGUUCUGCACCGCCGAAAGUGAUUACGCCCGAAUAUGUAUUGAAAUUGAACAAAAUCACUGAUGACUAUCUAUGCUCUCUGGAUGCCAAUAUCUAUGAAAUCGAUUUCACUCGCUUCAAAAUUCGUGAUAUGGAAAGUGGGGCAGUGCUUUUCGAAAUUGCCAAACCCACCGUUGCUGAAGCAAUGCAACCAAAUGUAGACUUAGCUGCGGGUUCCACCGAGGGAAGCAAUAAAAAUACGGGGCCCAGUAACGAAGACUGUGCGUCCGCUGCCGCUAGUGAGGAGGAAGACAUUCUAGAGCCAAACGCAGGACGUUACGUACGAUACCAAUUUACACCACAAUUUCUUAAGUUGAAAACCGUCGGAGCAACAGUCGAGUUCACCGUCGGCAGCAGAAGUGUAAAAAACUUUCGAAUGAUUGAGAGACACUUUUUUCAAGACAAGAUACUUAAAACAUUCGACUUCGAGUUUGGUUACUGUAUUCCAUACUCCAAAAAUACCUGCGAGCACAUUUACGAAUUCCCUACCAUCCCACCGGACCUAUAAAGCGACAGUUGAGUGUAUGCGCCUUCCAAAUCUAAGGCGCAAAACACUUUGCAACCCGCUAAACCCGCAAAUAAAUCCUGGGCAGUUGGUAAUGGGCUGCGAGGGACGCUGUUUUGCAUUCGUCGUCGUGCAAUGUGGACUUCAACAUCGUUCUGCUCGGGGUACUGGAUAGAAAAAAGGAUUGUAUAAAUACUAAAGCCGAAAGAUUUGUGACCAAUUUGAUUACCUUUCAUUAUAGUUUGACAAACACCUGCGACUACACCGUUUACUGGAUCUCUUCGUUUUUCGAAGGAGCUUCAACCGUUGAAGGUGUGGCGGACAAACAGUGCUCACUAUCCUAUGUGUGGAUACUGAAUAUAAAUAUUUUAAGUCAUUCAGUUUAGUACAGUAAUAACUGAUGAGGGACAUUAACACGAACAGUUACCAUACUUCAUUAAGUACAGUUAAAAUCCUUACCGCUUCAGCAAUGGUUUUUGAUUAUGCGGGCCUCGUUUUGGCCUGGAAGCGCGCUAACUGCUGUCAAAACCCCUCUUUAUUCGCCCGAUUUUGCCCCAGUUUUGACCUAAUUGCGCACUGUAAAAUUUGUCAGUUUCAACGCACUACCGCACGUGCUUAGUUCGUAAAUAAUUAUCUGGCAUCUCUUUCUUACUUGCGUCGUGAAUCGCGAUGCCGUUGUUUUAUUGCUCGGCAGAUUUGCCCUGACGCAGGGGAAUAAAGAAAUUCGCUAUUUAAUUUUACAAAUCAUCUAUACUCAAAGUAGAGCAAAAACGAAGAUGCGUAUAUGUUUAAUUUAAUUUGAAUCCUGGCAACACUGGUGCGAUUUUCAAUCAUUGUUCUAAAAAUCUUUCCCUUUGAUUCGGAAGAAAAAUUUUCAGCUUUCGCUUGUGCUGUGCGUGGUUUGGUGUGACAGACGAAUUUUUAUCUAAAAUUCCGCUGUAAAAUCUCGCUAAACUCGGAUCGAAAGCAUUGUGCACCGAUAGCCAGCUCGCAGGUUCAAGGAUAAAUCGCGCUGAGCUAGUAAAACUCGAGUUCCAGUGGUCGCAACCGGCUAAGGUAAGAAACCGCGAGGGCUGCCACAACAGACUCCAUUGUGAAAUUUUGUUAGCGCAAGAUGGAAGCAGGCUCUUGAAGGCGGAUCAAAUAAAGUUUAUAAAAUAUCUUUUCCCCUCUAAGUAAAGGAUACUGUCGCAGAGCGAGUUUUAAAUACGAAUGUAGUGAAGUUAUUAAAACAGUAUUUCACGUUUCAGUUUUAUGCUACUGUGAGCAAUACACAAAAAAGAAGAAAAACGGACUCGUCAGUUGUGAAGUUUUUUUUUCGUUUCGUUUAGUUCAAGAACAACCGGAAUUAAAAUGGUGUUAUCAAAGAUUAGUUUUUCGACUCCGCGUUGGAGUGAUUGGAACUCAGUACUAAAGUUAACCAGUUCUGGACUGUUAUCAAGUUGAAUGUUUACACUUCUAAUCAAGAAAAACAGUUUGUAAACUACAUUCUUUUCAUUUGCUUUGAUAAUAUAGAAGCAGUUGUUUUCAUGGACUGAAAACAAGAUUUUACUCUUGAUUAGCAAUCAAUAAAGGAAUCGGAAAUAUGAUCCAACUCGGAAAAGUGAUACAGAAUGGAAUGUUUUUCAUAGCAGGCAAGUUGUAUAAGUGCAAUAGUUUAUUGAAAACAAAAA